GUUUCCUGCCUGAAUAACUCAGAACAUUUCAGAUGCUGAGUUCUUGUUAGAUUUCUGAAGUUUACACAGGGUUGGGCCUGGUCAGUUCUUGGAUGGGAGCCCUCCAAGGAAACCCCAGGUGCUGCAGGAAACU
rnacentral:rRNA from 1 species